CGCCAGACUCCUACGGGAGGCAGCAGUGGGGAAUAUUGCACAAUGGGGGAAACCCUGAUGCAGCGACGCCGCGUGAGCGAUGAAGUAUUUCGGUAUGUAAAGCUCUAUCAGCAGGGAAGAAAAUGACGGUACCUGACUAAGAAGCCCCGGCUAACUACGUGCCAGCAGCCGCGGUAAUACGUAGGGGGCAAGCGUUAUCCGGAUUUACUGGGUGUAAAGGGGGCGCAGACGGCGAUGCAAGCCAGGAGUGAAAGCCCGGGGCCCAACCCCGGGACUGCUCUUGGAACUGCGUGGCUGGAGUGCAGGAGGGGCAGGCGGAAUUCCUGGUGUAGCGGUGAAAUGCGUAGAUAUCAGGAGGAACACCGGUGGCGAAGGCGGCCUGCUGGACUGCAACUGACGUUGAGGCCCGAAAGCGUGGGGAGCAAACAGGAUUAGAUACCCCUGUAC
rnacentral:rRNA from 1 species